rnacentral:lncRNA from 1 species
UUCGGAUUUUCCGUCCAAAAUCUAAGAUGAACAAGAAGACAGGAUACAGUUUCAGUGACAGAACCUUGAUGAACAAAAAGCAUUAGCAACCCAAACAUUAAAAAGGGGUCAUUCUCAUAACAUACCGCACUCAUGCAGAUCAUUCAUGACAUACCUAGUUAGGAGCAUUCUGAUUCAUUUCGAUCAUAGCAUCCUAAUUAUUUGGCAUAAGCAUAGGUAUUUGAAACCGAUUCUACAGAUCAUACCCCUAGAAGAUGGUGUAACAAUGUCUGAAAAUUACAGAUCUUGUCCCCCUAAGCAGUAGUGGAACAGAUCGAAGAUGGUGAGCCUCAACCCCCUAAACAGUAGGGUAAUAGGCUGAAUUAUAAAUCAUUUCUUCCUGAAAUGGCGUUGGAGCGGCUCAAAGUCAUAGCAGAUCUCAUUGAAGUUUCAGGGAGUGGAUUGAAGUCACAAGUCUUAUCUCCUUGAAGUUGUAGUGGAGCAGACUAAAGAAAGCAAAUCUUAUUUCCCUGAAGUUGCAGUGGAACAGAUUCAAGCUAUAAACCACAGAUCUCAUCUCUCUGAAGUUGCAGUAGAGCAGAUCAAAACAAGUCUUAUCUCCUUGAAGUUGUAGUGGAGCAGACUAAAGAAAGCAAAUAUUAUUUCCCUGAAAUUGCAGUGGAAUAGAUUGAAGCUAUAAAUCACAGAUCUCAUAUCUCUGAAGUCGCAGUAGAGCAGAUCAAAACAAACUCUAUUUCCUUGAAGUUGCAGUGGAACGAUAGAGCAGAGCAAAGCGACAAGAUGCGGUGGGUUGAACGAGGCUACCUAAAGAAGAGAGGCACCAAAGAAGUCAAGAUUUGGCGGGACUGGGCAAAAUUGGUCUUUCUUAAAAGUCUUUGCUCUGUUCUCAUUACACGACAACGAGCAAAGAGGGGCAGCUGUUACAAGCCCAAUUUGCCCGGCCCGAAACCCAUUUCUAUAACCCCUAAACCCAAUUACAGAUAAACCCAAACCUAAAGCCCAAUCUAAAACUAAACCUAGCCCACCAAGCCCACAAUUUUUCAAUUCAAAAAAAUCAAAAGGAAACCCUAGGUGCGCCGCACCUAGGUCUGCUCUUGUCCCAUCCACCACCGACGUCUGCCACCACCUACUCAGCACUGCCCCAACUACUCCUGCAAGAUAGACACGCAAACAAUAGUGAAAAUGAUAAAAAAAUAUAUGUAAUGGCUUUAUAAAAGCCGAAGAGAGGAGAUUGUUUUUUUUUUCAGAUUUGGUCUUCGUAAAAUACAAAAAGAAACAUCAUCAAAAGACCUAAAAAAUAUUCACUCAAAUCGCAGUAAGAAAUAAAAGACAGAAUCAAAUGUCUAUUUUUUUUCUUUUUCAUUUUUCUUUUCUUUUUUUUCUUUUCUGAAUUUGUUUAUAUAUUCCGAAUCUAUCCUGCUAAAAACAAUAUAUAUAUUAGAUAAAAUAAAAAAUAAAAAAUAAAAAAAUUCUUAGCUUUUGGCGACACGGUGGCCGGCACUGCGGAGCCACGGUGGGGGUGGCCGGACCCCUUUGGCCGGUUCUGGGUUUUUCCCCAGAGAGAAAACAACUCCCCCUUUCCCUUUUUUUUUUGAAACUUGGAGGAAAUGAUGAUUUCACAAAAAAAAAUUUACUUUUAUAGCUCCUCAAUACGGCGUCAUUUUGGGGCAAACAUUCAAUCCCCAAAACGGCGUUGUUUAAUCACCUGACCCGGACUCCGACCCGAAAACUGCCUAGGAUCCGCAUGUUUUUGGACUGAGGGUCUAUUUGCGCCCUCAGUCUCUCCGCUUUUGAGGAUGUUUUCAAUGUAGUCCCAUUCUGUGACAGCCCUAAUAUGACCCUAGUCGAAAAGUGGUUUCGGGACCACAAAACCGAGUCCCAAAAAUAAUUAAAUGUUAUAUUCUGUGUUUAUUUCAUGUGAAAGUGCAUAUGUGAAAAUUUCAUGCUUUGAUUUUUCCAUUUGUGAAAGAAAUUAUAAAAAUAGGACUUAUGUGAAAAUUUCUGAAAAUGCUAUAGGCUAAUUUGUAGCGGCCAAAUAAUUUGUAGAGCAAAAUAGGAGGAUUUGCAUGUCAAACCUCCCACUUUUAUGUGUAAUGGCCGGCCAUCUUGUUAAUGGUAGACAACAUGUGCAAUUUUUUUAUUGAAGUUAUGGCAUAAGUAUGGCACAAUUAAUAUAUGCCAGAUAUGUGUCAUAAAAGGUUAAAUAAUAAGAAUAACAAAAGGAUGGAAAGGACAAAGUUUGUCCAUCUUUGUUCAUCAUAGCCGAAAAUAGGAGAGCAAGAGAGGAGGAAGCUCUUGAAAAAUUCGGUCACUUGGCGGAAGAAGAUGCAAGGUAAGUUCAUGGUAGUUUGCUUCUAUCUUGAUGUUCAUGAGUUCUUCUUGAUUUUACCUUAACUCAUGAAGCAUAUUUUGAUUUUUGGUUGUGUUGUGAGCAUUCAGUCAUGAAUUGAAAUGAGGGAAAUGGUUGUUGUUUCAUGUUCUUUUGAUGAAAAAUGGAAGAUAGGUGAAGUUGAGCCAAACAAAUGAGCAUGCAUGUGCCUUAGAUGCUAAGGGGGAAAAUCGGCUAAUAUGUUGUGUGUAUUAUGGCCGAAUGUGAACUUGGAAAAUAUUGAGUAAUGUUUGUGCUUUAAAAUGAUGAAAUGGAGAUUAUGCUUAAGUGAAGUUAUAGGUAUGUGAUGAUUGAUUUGUGAUAUGCAUGUUUAAAUAACGUGCAUGCAAGUUAUGUGUGAAAGAGUGAAUUGGUAAUAAAUCUGCUUGGAACAGCAGUAGUAACGUGAUUUUGGAAAAUCCCCAUAAAUUGUGAGAGAUGAGUUAGAAGCUGAAUAAAUUAUUUAAUUAAAUCUUAAUGAGUCUAGUUUCUUAUAAAAAAACCGUGUAAGCAAAAGAAUUUCCGAUAAUGAUAUAUUUGAAGUGAUGUGGGACAGGGUCAAAAUGACUUCUAGAUCCCCUGUUCUGUUUUUAUAAAAUCAUUAUAAAUUGUACACAAAUGGUUAUAAGAUGAAGUUUAUAUGCUUAGACUCCUUAAUGAGUCUAGUUUCAAAUGAAAUAAACGAUAACAUAUUUUUAAUUCUGUACAAUGAGAAAUUUGAUUCGUAGUGAAGAGUGGUCAGAUUAGUCAAAGAGUGAAACAAGGGAAACUUUAAGAAAAAUCUGGUAUUUAUUGGCCAAACCAAAAAUUCUGAAAAUUUUAUGGAUAAAAUAUAUAUGAGUCUAUUUUCAAGUAAAAUUAACGGAACUUGAUUUGGAGUUUCGUAGCUCCAGUUAUAAACUGUUGCUCAGGAAGAUAGCUUGCAGUAAAAUUAUGAUUAUGUGGUAAACAUUGACAAAAAUUUGUUAAUGAGUUGCUUAUUGAUUUCUUAUAAGCUUAUUAUGAUCAGUAAGUGUGAAAGUCGAAUAUAUAUAUUAUAUUUUUGAAAGUGAUGCUUGAAUAGUCGAAUAAUGACUAGUUUAAAAUCUUUGAAUUUAAGCUCAAGAGCAUAGAGGGGUAAAUUCGGAUAAGGGAAAAAAGAAAAUAAUCAAAUAGCCGUUGUAAUCGUUCGGCAACAUUCGAGGUAAGUUCCUAAGUGUUUAAGCUUGAUUCCUUUUUAUAUGCCUAAGAGUUAAAUUAAUAUGGCAAAGAGAAUGUAAAUUUUAUUUAGUUAAUGUGUCGAAUAUGUAAUGAUUUAAGGCUAUAAGCCGAUUAUGGCUAUUAUGCUUAAGCUGAAUUGGAUUUGGAAAUUUGAUGCACUAAAUGAGUGUUACAAUGAAUAAACUAUGCCGUAUAUGUGCUGGUAGAGAUAUCACGAUUUGUGAUUAUUAAAUAUCUAAAGGAAACCAUGAUGUGUAUAAAAUUAUUAUUAUUAGUCCUUUGUGGUAGCCGAAUGUGGCUUGGUACUAAAGUGAUUAAAUAUGAACUUCGAUGAGGUAACUGUUAGUGAUCGGUGAUAUAAGUUAUGCAUUAUAAUAUAUAUUCGGGUUUCAAACCUAACAGGCGUAAUGCAGUGAAAUGACAUCGGACUUAAAGGUCUAGCAGGCUUAUGGCCGGUGAUGAAAUUAGGUUAUUACCUAGCAGGCAAAUUGUCGGUAAACUAUUAAAAGUGUGGUGCUAUAAGACUAUGGGCUAAUACGAUAUGUGAAUUUGUUCCGUAAAGUAAAUUAUUCAGGUACGAACAACCUAAUUAAGUACAUGUGAAUUAAAUGAAUUUGAUGAUUGAUAUGAAUCGAACAUAUAAGAAAUGGUUUCAUGUUUAUGUUCAACUAUAAGACCUUGUGUUAAAUACACAAUCGAUUUCGUUCAAUACAUUAAGUUGGUCAGGUAUGCGAUAUGUACUUAUGCAUGUUAAAUCGAUUGGAAUUGAAUCAUGAAUGUGAAUUGAGAAGCAUAGGUAAAAAUUCCUAUGUCAUAUAUGUGAGUAAGGGUAAAACCAUCGUAAAUUAUUGAUAAGGAUGGGCUAUGUGCGGAACCAUCUUAUAAUUGCUAAUUUGAAAGGUUGUAUGCGAAUCAGUGAGCAAGAUGUAUUGUAUUGAGAUGAUGCUUCAGUGAAAAUAUACAUAUGUUUUUUGUGUUGAAUGAAUAUUAAAUUAAAGUUAUGAGCUGUUUGUGACUAGCAUAUCUAGUCGAAUUUGAUACUAUUAACUGAUGUACUAAGAUAUGUGUUCCAAUGUGGAAAUUAAACCCUAUAUGGUUGAAAGGAUGAAAAUCUUUGUUCAUAGAUAUGUGUUUCAGUUAUACAUGAUUGAAGUAUAAGUUAUGAAAGUGGGAAAGAACAGGUGAAUUGUUUAUCGAAAUAUGAUAUCGGGCUUCGGGCCUAGCAGGCUAUGAUGCUGGUGAAAUAUUAUUCGGGCCUUUGAGCCUAGCAGGCUAUAAUGCCAGUGAAAUGAAAUGUUAUGUGAAUUCGGUGUUCCUUGUAAGAUAGGGAUUUAGCCGAAUGUUAAAGAUGAAAUGAUAGUGUAUUGUAUCAUGCUUAUAUGGCCUAAUGGCAAGUAUAACAUGUUGGUAAAUAUGCAAUGUGCUUUUAUAAUCGAAUGAUAAGUUUGAAAUGAAUGUGAGUGAAAUGUUAUGCAUAAGCUAUCAAAUGCUAAGUGUGAAAAUGAGAUGAAAGAAAAGUGUUUGAGAUGUAUAAUUAUAUACGUUCGAAUGAUGUUAGUACUUAAUUGAUAUGAAUAUGUUAUAUGGAACUUGUUGAUUUGAUUAUUCGGGCCUUUGAGCCUAGCAGGCUAUAAUGCCGGUGAAAUGAUAUCGGGCCUCGAGCCUAGCAGGCGAAAUGCCGGUGAUUUGAGAAAAGUCUAAGACUAAGGUACCUCGUGUUAGAUUGACAAAUGAAUAUAUUCAAUACGUUAAGUGGGCCAGGUACGCAUUAUGUACUCAUAUGUGAGUUUGAUUUGAAGUGAAUCAUAAGUGUGUAAUGUGAUGUAUAUGUGAAUAAAUGUUAUAACUAUAUCUAUGAUCAUGAUACAUUUGGUCAAGGUGUGAAAGUAUGUGAUGGUAUUUGAUUUAUUUAUGUUAUAUGAAUUCAGAUUAAGUGUUAUAAGAAUGCUGAAUGUGCAUUAUGUGCAUGUGUAUAUUCGGCCAGAUGGCAACAUACCUAGAAUAUGGCCGCUUGAGAAAUUGAAUAAUCGAAGUAUAAUUGCGUUUAUUUGUUUGCAUUGCUUAAAACUUUCUAGGCUUAUGAAAGCUUACUCCGUUGUUAUAUUCCUCUGUUUUAUAGAUUGUUGACUCCAGUUACCUGCUCGGGUUGGAGUUCGCCGGAGAUAUUAUCACACUGUCGAGCUCACGCUAUUGGUGUAAGUAAAUCCUAGUAUUUCGAGUCUAUGGCAUGUAUAGGGUUUUAAUGUUGAGUAUGUGAUAUUAUAAUUUAGCCAAAGGUGUUGGCUUGUAUUGAUAAAGUGUUUUGGCCAUGUGAAUUGGCCUAUGUUGGCUAGUGAUGUUUUGGGCCUCGUAAGCCCAUAUAUGAGACACAUUUCAUGUGAAAAGAAAAGUUUUAAAUUGAUUGAAAUUUUUCGGCACGGUUUUUGUGUGAUUGACUGAGUUUAAGUCGGGUAACACCUCGAACCCUGUUCCGGCGAGGGAUUCGGGCGAGGGGUGUUACACAUUCCCUUUUUUAUUUUGUUAAUUUCGCCCUGGAAUUUCAUUAUUGUUUCAUCUGGGUCCCUAAUCGAACGGUGCGUUUUGGAUGGAAGGGUUUUACUUCCCAUUUGGUCCUCCUUGGUUACUCGCGCAUUUGCCUGGGUCCCUAUUUUAACCCCAGCAGUUUAUUUUAUUUGUGAAUUAUCCUCCUUAUUUUAAUUUGAUUUCAAUUAGGUUUUGUUUAGAUUCAUUUUUAUAGUUUUCUCUAUUAUUCGUGUUUAUUGAUAUUGAUUGCAUCAUUUGCAUAAUUUUGUUUAUUUAUUUGCUGUAGUCUAAUUAAUUGUAAUUUCACUUUUUAUAUAUUGUUCUAUGUUUUAUGCAUUAUUAUAUAUAUGUAUAUAUAUACCUUAAAAAUAAAAUUAACUUUAUUCUAUAUAUUAUUAGUAUUAUAUUAUUCAUAUAUAUAACCCCUUUUAUAUUUUAAAUACCUAUACUUGUUGAUUAAAAAGAAAUCACAUGUUUUGUACAUUAGUUAAAUUAUUAUUAUACGUAUAUGGUAACCUUGGUGCAUACAUCACUAAACUCAUGUAUAUUAUACCUAUAUUUUUUAUAAAUAAAUAUGUUUCUAAGCCCAUUGUAUAACUUAUAAUAAAACUAAUUUAAUCUUAUAUGCAUUUUCCUUUUAUUCUAAACUUAUUUACAUAUAUAUAAUUUGUGAAUCUAAUGUGUUCCUAAAAUUAUAUUUCAUUAUAUACUUUUAUUAUCUUUGCAUAUUUUUUAAUUCUCCUUUAUUGUAUAUAAGUUGUCAAUUUUAAACCAAUAUUCUUUAACCCUCCGUAUAUUAUUCGAUUUAAAAAUAUCCAUUCCAUAACAUAUAUUUUAAAUGAUUACAUAUGUAUCUCUAGUUUUAAAAUCCAUUAAUUCAUGUGUUAUGUAUUACAUGUUUAUCGCUAUUUUUAAUUUUGUUUUAUACCAUAUUAUUCUUUUAAUUUCCAUUUUGUUUUGUAUAUCUCGUAUUAAUUCUGUUAUAUUGGGUUGUAUAUUAUUGUGGCACAUUAUUGUGAGUAUCGUUUUGUUUGAUUUGUUUUGUUGUGAUGUAUUAUUAUAUUAUCAUUUUCGUCCUGUGUCGUUAUAGCAAUUAUCCUCCAUACAUGAUAGAAAUUGGGUUAUAUUUUUUAGGUUGGUCAUAUUCAAUUGUUUAUUUUAUUAGUUGAUUAUAUAAGGCUACAUUAUCUUCAUUCAUCAAUUAUUGUGUUUGGUGCGUGUAUUGUACCAUGAUCAUUGUUUUAUUUUUGGUUUACGAAAUAUUAUUUUAUAAGGUCCAACUCUUCAAGAUUAAUUCUUCCAUCUUAUUUUAAGUAAAAUUAAUGCGUUUUAAGCCAGUUUUAUAAUUCUUCCAUUCGUGUCAUAGUCACUAAAUUAUUUUUAAUUUGAGCUAAAGAGAUCCAAAUUAAGAUCCGUAAAUUUUCCCUGAAACUUGACUCACAUAUCUUUCCACCAUAAAAUCUUCAGAAUUUUUAGUUUAGCCAAUUAGUACAGUUUAUUCAUUAAAGUUUCCCCUGUUUCACUAUUCGACAGUUCUGACCUCUCUUCACUUAAAAUUAAUUAUCUCACAGUACAGAACUCGGAUAAUGUUCUCGUUGAUUUAUAUUGAAAAUAGACUCAUUAAGAAUUCUAAAAAUAUAAUUUUGAGCCUACAAUUAUUUUUCUCCAAAUUUUUGUGAUUUUCCAAAGUCAGAACAGGGGAACCCGAAUUUAUUCUGACCUUGUCUCACAAAAUUUAUUAUAUCUCAUAACUUACAAUUCAAUUGCUUACACCGUUUCUUCUGUAAGAAACUAGACUCAAUAAUCUUUAAUUAAAUAUUUUUUUCAUCAUCUGAUUCAAUUUCUACAAUUUAUGGUGAUUUUUCAAAAUUAACCUACUGCUGCUAUCCAAAACUGUUUUAGUUCAAGAUGUUUAUUACCAUUUUUCCUCUAAAUUUCACUGGUCAUACAAUUCAGUCCUUACUCAAUUAGCCCAUCACUUAAGCUAAUUUUUCUCAAUUAACAUUUUAUUCCAUCAUUCUAAACUAUUACACAACCUUUAAAAAUCAGAAUUUCAACACUAAACCUUAAUUCACAACUUUUUCACAAUUAGGUUCUAAAAUCAAUUUCUAUUGAAAUUACUUGAUAAAAUCAUCAAACAACAAAGUAAAAGCUUCAAAUCUAUUUUAUUUCAUCAUAAACAGCCAACACUUAUCAAUGGUAGCUUUCAAUUUUUUCCAUAAAAUCAAAAACUAAUGAAUUAAACACUUGGACCUAAUUGUAAAAGUCACAAAAGCAUAAAAAUCUCAAAGAAAAGGGAAAGAAUUGAACUCACAUAUGUCAAAGUAUGAAAAACAGCAACUUUCAGACCUCCCAUGGCUUUUUUGCU